AUACGGAGGGUGCCACCGUUAAUCGGAAUUACUGGGCGUAAAGGGUGCGUAGGCGGCUUGAUAAGUCGGAUGUGGAAGCCCCGGGCUUAACCUGGGAAUUGCAUUCGAUACUGUCAGGCUAGAGUAUGUCAGAGGUUGGCGGAAUUCCUGGUGUAGCGGUGAAAUGCGUAGAUAUCAGGAGGAACACCAGUGGCGAAGGCGGCUAACUGGGGCAAUACUGACGCUGAGGCACGAAAGCGUGGGGAGCAAACAGGAUUAGAAACCCUAGUAGUCC
rnacentral:rRNA from 1 species